rnacentral:rRNA from 1 species
AGAGUUUGAUCCUGGCUCAGGAUGAACGCUGGCGGCGUGCUUAACACAUGCAAAUCGAACGAAGCACCUUGAUUUGAUUCUUCGGAUGAAGAUCUUGGUGACUGAGUGGCGGACGGGUGAGUAACGCGUGGGUAACCUGCCUCAUACAGGGGGAUAACAGUUAGAAAUGACUGCUAAUACCGCAUAAGACCACAGCACCGCAUGGUGCAGGGGUAAAAACUCCGGUGGUAUGAGAUGGACCCGCGUCUGAUUAGGUAGUUGGUGGGGUAACGGCCUACCAAGCCGACGAUCAGUAGCCGACCUGAGAGGGUGACCGGCCACAUUGGGACUGAGACACGGUCCAGACUCCUACGGGAGGCAGCAGUGGGGAAUCUUCCGCAAUGGGCGCAAGCCUGACGGAGCAACGCCGCGUGAGUGAAGAAGGGUUUCGACUCGUAAAGCUCUGUUGUCGGGGACGAACGUGGAGACGGCGAAUAGCCGUUUCCAAUGACGGUACCUGACGAGGAAGCCACGGCUAACUACGUGCCAGCAGCCGCGGUAAUACGUAGGUGGCGAGCGUUGUCCGGAAUUAUUGGGCGUAAAGGGAGCGCAGGCGGGAAGGUAAGUCUAUCUUAAAAGUGCGGGGCUCAACCCCGUGAGGGGAUGGAAACUAUCUUUCUUGAGUGCAGGAGAGGAAAGCGGAAUUCCUAGUGUAGCGGUGAAAUGCGUAGAUAUUAGGAGGAACACCAGUGGCGAAGGCGGCUUUCUGGACUGUAACUGACGCUGAGGCUCGAAAGCGUGGGGAGCGAACAGGAUUAGAUACCCUGGUAGUCCACGCCGUAAACGAUGAAUGCUAGGUGUAGGAGGUAUCGACCCCUUCUGUGCCGGAGUUAACGCAAUAAGCAUUCCGCCUGGGGAGUACGGCCGCAAGGCUGAAACUCAAAGGAAUUGACGGGGGCCCGCACAAGCGGUGGAGUAUGUGGUUUAAUUCGACGCAACGCGAAGAACCUUACCAGGGCUUGACAUUGAGUGAAAGGACAAGAGAUUGUCCCCUCUCUUCGGAGACACGAAAACUGGUGGUGCAUGGCUGUCGUCAGCUCGUGUCGUGAGAUGUUGGGUUAAGUCCCGCAACGAGCGCAACCCCUAUUCUUUGUUGCCAGCACGUAAUGGUGGGAACUCAAAGGAGACUGCCGCGGACAACGCGGAGGAAGGCGGGGAUGACGUCAAGUCAUCAUGCCCCUUAUGUCCUGGGCUACACACGUACUACAAUGGGAUGGACAGAGAGCAGCGAAGCCGCGAGGCCAAGCGAACCCCAUAAACCAUCUCCCAGUUCGGAUUGCAGGCUGCAACCCGCCUGCAUGAAGUUGGAAUCGCUAGUAAUCGCAGGUCAGCAUACUGCGGUGAAUACGUUCCCGGGCCUUGUACACACCGCCCGUCACACCACGGAAGUCAUUCACACCCGAAGCCGGCAGGCUAACCUUUUGGAGGCAGCCGUCUAAGGUGGGGGCGAUGACUGGGGUGAAGUCGUAACAAGGUA